AUAUUGGGUUGGCCAAAAAGUUCAUUUGAAUUUUUCUGUAACAACUUAGGGAAAAACCCGACUGAACUUUUUGGCCAACCCAAGAG
rnacentral:miRNA from 1 species